UGGGGAAUAUUGGACAAUGGGCGAAAGCCUGAUCCAGCCAUGCCGCGUGUGUGAAGAAGGUCUUCGGAUUGUAAAGCACUUUAAGUUGGGAGGAAGGGCAGUAAGCGAAUACCUUGCUGUUUUGACGUUACCGACAGAAUAAGCACCGGCUAACUCUGUGCCAGCAGCCGCGGUAAUACAGAGGGUGCAAGCGUUAAUCGGAAUUACUGGGCGUAAAGCGCGCGUAGGUGGUUCGUUAAGUUGAAUGUGAAAGCCCCGGGCUCAACCUGGGAACUGCAACCAAAACUGGCGAGCUAGAGUAGGGCAGAGGGUGGUGGAAUUGCCUGUGUAGCGGUGAAAUGCGUAGAUAUAGGAAGGAACACCAGUGGCGAAGGCGACCACCUGGGCUCAUACUGACACUGAGGUGCGAAAGCGUGGGGAGCAAACAGG
rnacentral:rRNA from 1 species